GGGACAUUUUUUUUUUCUCUUAAAAAAAAAAAAAAAAAAGCCAAAGGUGAAUGUUCUGUUUUUUUUUGUUGGUUUUUUUUUCUCUCUCUGGCUGAGAUGAUUUGUGAGCAAUUAUGGGAGGGCUUUUGCUUUCAUUUGUAUUUUAAGAACAUUAGCGGGAGAGAUUCUGUUAUACUGAUUAUACUUAUUCUGUUAAUAAAAUUACUAUUUUUUAAUUGUAUACUGAAACAUGAUGUAAAAUUGUGACCAUCAGAGAAGACGAAAUAACUAUUGAUACCCAACCAAAUGUUCAUAUUAGCCAGGUAAUUCAAAUGAAAACCUCAUAUUUCUCAUUUGAAUAUCCCACUGUGACAGACCCUUCUCGGAAGUCAUUCGUCUUCUCUGUUGGCCAACUCACCAUUUCUCCCUCCCAUUUUGUAGCUUUUUGCCAUUCAUAUCUCCAGGUAUUAGACCGUCCCAGUUUUUGUCUGGUUUUGUUCUUAAACUUAAUCUCUUCCAUACAUAUUACCAACCCAUUAGACGGGGAUGGCAUUUGUCCAGUGUGGCACCUUUUCUGUAUGUGUGAUGUUUUUUUUCUUUUCUCAGUAUAAUAGACCACUUUUGAUAAUAAAACUCUUGGAAGUAUGAUCAGUUGUGAAUCUGGUUGUCAUUGAUUUGUGAGACGCUGCAUGCUACUCUGUUAAGAGCAAUAUGUAGCAUUUUUGUACUUUAUUUUUGGCGGGUCACAUGCCUAGUUUUUAAACUGAACCAAUAUUUUCUUCAUCUUGGGUCUAUGUAGAAAUAUUUAUUCCCUCUGCACAUCAUCUUUGGAGUAUGUUUUAUGCUGCUUAUUGCUUUUUACAUAGUACAGCACUAUCAGACUUGUAUAUUUGCUGAUUUAUUAAAAUAGAACUAUGACCAUUUAGUGAAUGCUAAUACCUGAAAUCAGUAAAUGGAAAUAAUACACUCAUAUACCACAAGUGUCUAUAAUCAAUGACAGAUUUUUGAAUGUUUCUCAUUUAAGGGCUUUUCAGUGUUACCUUUUCCAAAGCCACUGAAGUUUGUUUGCUUGUGGAGGUCGUGGUUGCUUCAUCAUACUCUCUUAGCUUGUUAUAGGACAUCAGAUUGAACUGGGAUGUAUUGAGAUGCCGUGGAGGGACUGUGGUAGUUGUAUUGAACAGGUUUUAGGAAGUCUUGUGAAUCGGAACCAAAGUUAAUCACUUUCUCCCUCUCUUUCUCGAUGUAAAGCUGAAGGGUUUAUCACUGCCGUGCAGCAACCUGCUGCAAACACUUUUUUUACUUGUUUACUUUACCUGAAUAGGCCUAUUGUGUGUUUUUAUGUCAGCUUGGACCAUUAUGUUCAUAGUGUGUUGAUAUGUCUGUUUCCGU
rnacentral:lncRNA from 1 species